rnacentral:rRNA from 1 species
UACGUAGGGCGCAAGCGUUUAUCCGGAAUUAUUGGGCGUAAAGAGCUCGUAGGCGGUUUGUCGCGUCUGCCGUGAAAGUCCGGGGCUCAACUCCGGAUCUGCGGUGGGUACGGGCAGACUAGAGUGAUGUAGGGGGAGACUGGAAUUCCUGGUGUAGCGGUGAAAAUGCGCAGAUAUCAGGAGGAACACCGAUGGCGAAGGCAGGUCUCUGGGCAUUAACUGACGCUGAGGAGCGAAAGCAUGGGGAGCGAACAGG